AGCGAACGCUGGCGGCAUGCUUAACACAUGCAAGUCGCACGGGCGGGGGCAACUCCGUCAGUGGCGGACGGGUGAGUAACGCGUAGGUAUCUAUCCUUGGGUGGGGGAUAACGGUUGGAAACGACUGCUAAUACCGCAUGACAACUGAGGUUUAAAGGCGCGAGUCGCCUGAGGAGGAGCCUGCGUACGAUUAGCUAGUUGGUGGGGUAAAGGCCUACCAAGGCGACGAUCGUUAGCUGGUCUGAGAGGAUGAUCAGCCACAUUGGGACUGAGACACGGCCCAAACUCCUACGGGAGGCAGCAGUGGGGAAUAUUGGACAAUGGGCGAAAGCCUGAUCCAGCAAUGCCGCGUGUGUGAAG
rnacentral:rRNA from 1 species